rnacentral:misc_RNA from 1 species
GAUGAAGAACGUAGCGAAAUGCGAUAAGUAAUGUGAAUUGCAGAAUUCAGUGAAUCAUCGAAUCUUUGAACGCACAUUGCGCCCGCUAGUAUUCUGGCGGGCAUGCCUGUUCGAGCGUCAUUUCAACCAUCAAGCCUCAGGCUUGUGUUGGAGCCCUGCGGUUGCCGCAGCCUCCCAAAAACAGUGGCGGGCUCGCUAUCACACCGAGUGCAGUAGUUUACUCUUCGCUCAGGGCGUGUGGCGGGUGCUAGCCGUGAAACCCCCUACUUCUCAAGGUUGACCUCGGAUCAGGUAGGAAUACCCGCUGAACUUAAGCAUAUCAAUAAGCGGAGGA